CUCAAAUGAAUUGACGGGACCCGCACAAGCGGUGGAUGAUGUGGUUUAAUUCGAUGCAACGCGAAAACCUUACCCACCUUUGACAUGUACGGAACCCUUUAGAGAUAGAGGGGUGCUCGAAAGAGAGCCGUAACACAGGUGCUGCAUGGCUGCCGUCAGCUCGUGUCGUGAGAUGUUGGGUUAAGUCCCGCAACGAGCGCAACCCUUGUCAUUAGUUGCUACAUUCAGUUGGGCACUCUAAUGAGACUGCCGGUGACAAGCCGGAGGAAGGUGGGGAUGACGUCAAGUCCUCAUGGCCCUUAUAGGUGGGGCUACACACGUCAUACAAUGGCUGGUACAAAGGGUUGCCAACCCGCGAGGGGGAGCCAAUCCCAUAAAGCCAGUCGUAGUCCGGAUCGUAGUCUGCAACUCGACUACGUGAAGUCGGAAUCGCUAGUAAUCGUGGAUCAGAAUGUCACGGUGAAUACGUUCCCGGGUCUU
rnacentral:rRNA from 1 species